GAGGGUAUAGCUCAGUGGUAGGGGGCUUGCCUAGUAUGCAUGAGGUCCUGGGUUCAAUGCCCAGUACUACCA
rnacentral:tRNA from 1 species